ensembl:snRNA U6 U6 spliceosomal RNA
GUGCUUGCUUUGGCAGCACAUAUAUGAAAACUGGAAUGAUACAGAGAAAAUUAGCAUGGCCCCUAGCACAAGGAUGACAUGUAAAUUCAUGAAGUAUUCCAUAUAUUU